AUUGAACGCUGGCGGCAGGCCUAACACAUGCAAGUCGAACGAGUGGCGGACGGGUGAGUAAUGUCUGGGAAACUGCCUGAGGGAGGGGGAUAACUACUGGAAACGGUAGCUAAUACCGCAUACCAUCGGAUGUGCCCAGACGGGAUUAGCUAGUAGGUGGGGUAAAGGCUUACCUAGGCGACGAUCCCUAGCUGGUCUGAGAGGAUGACCAGCCACACUGGAACGGCGACACGGUCCAGACUCCGUCGGGAGGCAGCAGGGGGGAAUAUUGCACAAUGGGCGCAAGCCUGAUGCAGCCAUGCCGCGUGUAUGCAGAAGGCCUUCGGGUUGUAAAGUCCUUUCAGCGGGGAGGCGUUACCCGCAGAAGAAGCACCGGCUAACUCCGUGCCAGCCGCCGCGGUAAUAG
rnacentral:rRNA from 1 species